rnacentral:piRNA from 1 species
AACGCGAAGGCCGGGGCUUAGGGAUGG